rnacentral:rRNA from 1 species
AACGAACGCUGGCGGCAUGCCUAACACAUGCAAGUCGAACGAAGCCUUCGGGCUUAGUGGCGCACGGGUGCGUAACGCGUGGGAAUCUGCCCUUGGGUUCGGAAUAACAGUUAGAAAUGACUGCUAAUACCGAAUGAUGUCUUCGGACCAAAGAUUUAUCGCCCAAGGAUGAGCCCGCGUCGGAUUAGCUAGUUGGUGAGGUAAAGGCUCACCAAGGCGACGAUCCGUAGCUGGUCUGAGAGGAUGAUCAGCCACACUGGGACUGAGACACGGCCCAGACUCCUACGGGAGGCAGCAGUGGGGAAUAUUGGACAAUGGCGGAAAGGACCGUGAUCCACGCAAUAG